AGAGUGAACGCUGGCGGUAGGCCUAACACAUGCAAGUCGAACGGCAGCACAGUAGGAGCUUGCUCUUACGGGUGGCGAGUGGCGGACGGGUGAGGAAUACAUCGGAAUCUACCUUUUGGUGGGGGAUAACGUAGGGAAACUUACGCUAAUACCGCAUACGCCCUUCGGGGGAAAGCCGGGGACCAGCAAUGGCCUGGCGCUGAUAGAUGAGCCGAUGUCGGAUUAGCUAGUUGGUGAGGUAAUGGCUCACCAAGGCGACGAUCCGUAGCUGGUCUGAGAGGAUGAUCAGCCACACUGGAACUGAGACACGGUCCAGACUCCUACGGGAGGCAGCAGUGGGGAAUAUUGGACAAUGGGCGCAAGCCUGAUCCAGCCCAUACCGCGUGGGG
rnacentral:rRNA from 1 species